CCGUCCCCGAGGCCUGUCACCCGCCCCUGCGCCGUCCCCCGCCCCGGGCUCCAGACGCGGUGCCAUCCCCGAGCACCGGCGCCCCGUCCCCGAGCCCUGGCGCCGCCAUCCCCGAGGCCCGUCCCCCGCCCCUGCGCCGUCCCCCGCCCCGGGCUCCAGACGCAGCGCCGUCCCCGAGUAUCGGCGCCCCGUCCCUGAGCCCCGGCUCUGCUGUCCCCGAGGCCAUCCACGCCGCGGCCGCGCUCGCCCCCGUCCCUCGGCCCUGCCCCUGCAGGGGCCGACAGCUCCGCCGCGGCCGCUCUCGACGGCGUCGCCACGCGGCCGCACUCCCGGCGCGGAUCCCCCACAACGGCGUACUCGCACAGGUCUCUGGUAUAAUGGGGGCGAUUUUCAUGAUUCAAGUCUUGUCGUGGGAAACAAGCUGAAGCUGAGAAUAAUGCGGAGAAUGAUGAUGGAGGGGCCCGUAGUAAUAGUGAGGGUGGAGGGGAUGGAAGCCCUUCUGAGUACUUAAACCUCAACCAAAAUGAUGAGGUGCCAGCUCAGACUGAGGAAGAGACCAUGAUAUCAGCUGCCGGUAGGGCCAAACGAGGUCGCAACAAGAUGCCUAAGGGUCGGUCUCUUAUUACCGAGCUCGAUGAAUUAGGUGAGCCCGUCGCUCCUGUCAAGGUGAUGGGGCCAUACAAGUCAGCUAUUGGGGUGGUGGUGAAGGAAAAUGUGCCCAUCACGUACAGGUAUUGGAAUACGAAGGAUAAGACUUGGGUGGUACCAGACUCAAUCAAGGAAAUAUGUUGGGGCAAGUUGAAAGAAAAGUUCAUCUUCCCCGAGGAUUCAGAGCCAUUAGCACGGCGUCGAGCACUGUUUCUCAUGGGCAACUCUUUCAGAUACUUCAAAUUUACCUUGAACAAGCAUGUGAAGAAUGCAACUAAGCCAGAUUGGAAGGAUUUUCCGAACCAACGACCUUUUUGGGAACAGUUUGUCUUGUACAAGAGGUCAGAGGAGGCACAAGCUAGCAGCGCCACAAAUUCACAGAAUUGUAGGAAAAAUGAUAAGCCCCAUAAGACCGGCUCUCGUGGGUAUAUUAGAAAAAUACCCGAGUGGGAGGAGCAGGCAGAGAGGCUGGUCCAUAGUGGUGUUACGCUGCAGACAGAUGGGUGGGAUCCUCGGGCCGUGAGGUAUCUUCUAGCGAGGGGUGCGUACUACAAUCCUAAUGGUUCCCUUGGUUUUCGUGAUCGUGAUGCUGAGGAUCUUGGACGCAAGAUUCAGGAAGCACACGAGGCUGCUUCCACAGGCGCUUUUGUGCCAGACAGGGAGAACGAUGAGCUGACUCGAGCACUUGGAUCCAAAGAGCACCCAGGGCGCACACGUGGGACCGGCAAUGUUCCAUGGAGGUUUGCCUUCCCCGAACAUUUGGGCACAUACAGGAGCCGUGGGAGGAGGAAUGCUCAACAACAGGCCGAGUGGCAAAGUCUUUUACAAGCUGUCCGUGAAGAAGUAAAUGCAACGAAUGAGAAGUUUCGGGCUGAGCUUGUGGAAUCACUUUCCCGUGGUGCUCCCUUGGCACCAGGAGAAGCAAUGAGAGAUGCUGCGCCAGAUCUUUCAAGUCCACCAGGGUUGGUUCGGAGUAGCUGUGGAAGCACUGCGUUGCCUGAGGAGGAUGUUGGAGUCACCUUCCCUGUGGAUAAGAUCACACAACCAACAAUCUGCAAGCUAUACAUCCAUCAGAAGUUCUUUGAUAUGAAGGUGGCUGUAGGUCAGGCUUGGCCAACCGGCGAAGGGGUUAUGCUACAUAAUCGCCCUUUACCUGAAGGUUAUGUAAAGGUUACCGUUGAUUCUCUUGUUAAGAGGAAAUACAAAAAUGUGGAGCUGGAUAUCUCCGGUGAUGACAGUAGGUUGCUAGGGGAUAACAUCGGAGGAUUUGUGGCGUGGCGGAAAUGCUACAUAAUAUUUGAAUCAGAAUCUGAGUCAUCCGAUGAUGGUCCUCGAGAGUCACCGGAGAGGGACUUACCUCCUUCACCAAAGUCCAACAGAGAAUCAAGCCCGCCGUCACCUCAAAGAGAGCUAACUCCUCCUAGUCCUCCGAAAAAAAGGCGAACAUCAUCGAGAACACAGAAAAUAUCAUCUCAGAAGCAAUAUUCAGAACCGGCAGAAAAGCCAGAGGGACCAUGUGAAGGGACGGGCAAGAAACAGGUGAGUGGAAGCAUAACAACGCUACUCAAAGAAAAAGGAAAGAAAGUAGAGGACUUCAUAGUCCCCAAAGGUGCAAUGGACCAUUUCUUAAACUUAAUGAAACUGCCGCAAACUGGAAAUAAUCAACCUCCGCUUUCAGACUAUGAGCGAACUAUGAAUAUAGAGAGGUGGCAUGAAGGAACCCGAGCUGCACACAAGUUAAAUGUAGCUGAACGGGGCCGCAUUUUGUGAACAAAACAACAUGACAGAGUUAGAACUUCUUCAAAUUGAGUAUGAAGAAGAUUGGUGGAAACAACCAUUGCCACUACCACCGAUUACCUGGCAAUUUGAAUUGGGGAAAGAUCUGGUGGCCCCAGAACAAAUCCCGAAGCUACCCACAAGAAUGCGACAGUUGCAUUCUUGGUACAAGAUGCAAAAAGGUAAGCUGUUUGGGGCAAGUUAUCUUGAUGAAGAUCUUCAUAAGGGGGAAGGCAGAGUGUGGGUUGAUUUCGAGCACUUGUAUCAUUUCUACCAACAGGUUGCUCUCGACGUCUCAAUUAUGACCUUGUGGACUGUAAUGGAGUCACACAAAUGUAGACGAUGUGGGAUUAACAAUAUAGGCUUCUUGGACCCUAGCACCGUACAUGAGAACACAGUCAAUUUACCAAGUACCGUUGACUACUUGUACAAAGCUUUCCUCUCCAUGCAGGAUAAAAGAUCCAUACUUCUUUCAUACAAUUGCUUUUAUCAUCAUGUCCUACUCGAUAUCAGCCUUAGCGAUAGUCGAAUCGAGGUUUCUGACUCACGAAAGAGGCCAUUAUCACUAAUCCAGCCCGUCAUUGAUGUCCUCAACAAGGCCUUCCCUAAGUACCGUAAGAAAAGAAAAAUCCAUAGACCUUUUUGGGGAGACUUCACUGUAGAAGAGGCUAAAUACAUCCUCAAGCAGCCUCCGGGCAACGAUCACUGUGGGUUCUAUGUUAUGCAUUACAUGCACUGCUACACCGGCGAUUGCAGAAGCGCCGAAAUGAACACUGAGUUGGAUUCAGGUGAAUUGCUCAUAGGCGAGCUAGUAGCACUUCAAGAAGAACUAGCCGGAUGGCUUGUGGACUACGUGGUGAAGCCAGGAUCUGAGUACAGCAUAAUCUAGGUGUAAUGUCUAGAUCGUAUCGUUCUUGUCAAGCAUUGUAAUAUAUUUGGUGUAUGGACUAGAUAUUCUUAAACUUGAUGCAUGGACUCUAUAUUUUUUAUUAUGAUGUUUGAACUCUCUCAUUUGAUUUCAAUGUAUAAUAUCUUAUGGUUCAAUUCUGCUG